UAAUGAACUAUACAAACUUCGGCGUGCCGAAGUUAGCUUCCUUUCUUGUUUUAGGUUCAGUUUCAUUUUUUCCGCCGAACUAAGGCUUUAACAGUAUCUUAUAUGAAAGAUAACAAAAACAUGUUUUCUUUCCUUGUCCCGAUAAAAAGUGUAACCGCCUUAAACAUCAAAAAAUAUCUCAAAAAAAUAUCGAUAAAAUAUGAUAAUUUUUCAAAAAAAAUAUCACGAUAAAAAUAUUUAUUUUUUCGCAAAAAAUAUCGAUAUAUUGAUAUUUUGAUAUAUUUUCGACAUCCCUAUUAUAAAUGUGCUCAAAAAGUAUCAAAAAUUUGCGAAAUGGAUCGGUUCCUUCUGUUUUUAUUCAAGAUUAACAAUCUUAUUAUUCAAUAACAUACAAAAAAAUAACAUAUUUCAAGGAAAACUCUUAAUUUACGAACUAAAACAUAAUUAUUCCAUUAUUUGACGCUCAACGUAUAAUCGGACAAUCCCAAGAUGAACACAAAAAAUCGAUAUUUUACCUGGAAUUCGCUGAAAGCUUUGUGUUUUUUGCAUUGCGUUUGUUUAAUAAUAGAGAUUAGGAGCAGAAAACAUAAUUUUGCUAUUAAAAAGUGGAAAAUGGCUCCAAAUGGAGAGCAAUCCUCUGUGGAACUUCUUCAGUUGGAUGUUAAGCUAAAUUUUGAAGGAAAAACAGUGAGAGAAAUCUCAGAAUUAGUUGGGAAAAGCAAAUCUACCGUCCACGACAUUAUUGAGAGGUUCCGUGAUGAAUUUAGAUUUGCCAAUAAAAGCAGGGAAGGCCAAAACAAAAUCUUAAAUGACCGAGAAGAGCGGUCGGUUUUAAAAGAAGUUAAACAAGAUCCCUUCAAAACGCUAAAGAACUUAAUAUUUGUUUACAAAACCGAACUGGUAAAGAUGUUUGUCUCAAUACUGUGCGUAAUACUUUACAUAAAUUUGAUUACUUCGGACGAGUUGCGAGGAAGAAGCCCUUUAUUAGCCCCAAGAACAAACAAAAACGCAUUAAAUAUGCAAAAGAAUAUUUGAUGAAAACAGAGGAUUUUUGGAAGACGGUUCUAUUUACUGAUGAGAGUAAAUUUAAUUUACAUGGAUCCAAUAAAAAGAAGUUUGUUUGGCGUAAACCAAAUACCGAAUUUAAACCCAAAAACACAAAGGCCACAGGAAAGCAUGGAGGAGGUUCUGUGAUGGUUUGGGGCUGCAUGUCCAGUGCUGGAGUGGGCCAAUUGCAUUUUAUAGAUGGCAUUAUGGAUAAGUUUGGUUACCUAAAUGUUUUAAAAGAAAAUGUAAAGCAAAGUGCUCAGAAAUUGGGUAUCGCAAACAACUUUGCUUUUUACCAGGACAGCGAUCCUAAGCACACAUCGAGUGUUGCAAAGCUUUAGUUGAUCCAUAAUUGUCCCAAAGUUGUCGAAACGCCAGCGCAAAGCCCCAACCUUAACGUAGUUGAACAGCUCUGGGAAGAAUUGGCUAGAAGAGUGUACCAGGAGAAAUUUAAAACUAUAAAUGGCCUCAAGGAAGCUUUGUUGGAAGCAUGGAACUGCAUUGAGCCGGAAGUGUGCGAAAAAUUGGGUGAAAUCCAUUCCUAGGCGCUUGCAAGCUGUUCUAGAGAACAAAGGACUCGCAACCAAAUAUUAAAUGUUUAGCAGUGCAAAGUGUAGAGUUCAAGUCCGACUCGGAACAUUUAGAUUUGUCAAUAAAAUUUUCUGAAAUAUGCUCAACCAGUACAGAACUCUUCCCGGCGUUUGUUUCCCCAUGCCAUAUUGCAAAAAGUGCUAGUUUGCAGACCCACAUGCCGAAUUCGGCCCCCUACCCGAGAUUUUCUUCUCCUACAUAUCUUCGUUCACAGUAUGUUUCCCGCGGCCUCAAUAUUUUCUGUGAAACAGUUUCUUCAACUUCAAAAAAAUACAAUCCACUCCGCGACGCUCUACUGUAUGCCAAUAUAUGAAUAUAUUUUCUGCCUCUAAAAUUCUUGUACGCCCUCACAACUCUAGUCCAGUUGUCGGGUUUCCACUGUACAAAAUAUAUGUUCUGCCUCCAAAACAGAAUUAAAAACUGUAUCAUCAAAUAAUAAAAUUUAAAAAAUUCAAAAUACAAAUAAACAACAUUUGAAAAAUCUAACUUCGAACCGCAGCGGCCUAGUUGUUGUUUUUGUCCGUUGUUGUUUUCUCUUGGGCCGCUGCUCUUACCCAGCAGGCAAAGAGCGGUCUCGGUGCGGAUGGAUCCGAGAAAUGUCCGCUAAAAAUAUUAAAUGCGAACAAAGAAUCGGAGUUUCCGCAUUAGGUUCGGGGAAUGCUCAAAAACGGACGCGCAAACGGACGAAAAGCAAACCGUGUGGCGUUGCUCGUGAAUAUGCCGAAAACGUAUUGCUAACGGACACUGAAACGUACAGUGGGCGGCCAAAUAGCGGACUUACCGCAAUAGGUUUGCCUAAUUGUCGAAACCUGAGCCGAAAACGGAUACUGAAACGGGCGAACACUGGGACCCGUGCAAAUGCCGCAAAUGUCCCGCUAACGGACACUAAAACGCACUGCACGCGUUAAAAAUCUUGUCGUCAACGAAAUUUCUAGAACUCGAUGAACGGUUCUCCUCCUUCCUUCUUUUGUCGCUUGCCUGUUUUUUGUUAUUUCGCUGCAAAUGAGCGAGAGGCAAUAUUAUUGCAUCAUCUUUUAACUCUUUUGGUUUGUGGAAUUUUUCCCGUUGCGACUCUUUUCCUUUUGACCGGCGAGUUGUGCGGACGUGAGUGAAAAGUUUUUUACAAGACGCACGUGUUUUCAACGGUAAGUGUUAAAUUUAAAUUGAUUAAUAUGUACAAUCUCAUACUAAUGAACUAAUAUUGACUAUAUUUAUAUUUAUUUAUGCUGGCGAGACUUAAUUUCCGACGAAGUGGCGCGCCAAUGGUCCUGGUUUGGGACAGAGUCCAAAAUGUCCAUUCGAGAGAUGCUUAUUACGUCAUCCGUCAAAGCUGCUUUAUGAACAAAUUUGCGUUGGAGGGCGCAGAUUUCGAUAGAGUGACACAAAAGCAGAAUGCACAGGACGGUUUGUAUUAGUAUUAUUAGUUGUAA